CAGCAGCCGCGGGAACACAGAGGGUGCGAGCGUUAAUCGGAUUUACUGGGCGUAAAGCGUGCGUAGGCGGCUUCUUAAGUCGGAUGUGAAAUCCCUGAGCUUAACUUAGGAAUUGCAUUCGAUACUGGGAAGCUAGAGUAUGGGAGAGGAUGGUAGAAUUCCAGGUGUAGCGGUGAAAUGCGUAGAGAUCUGGAGGAAUACCGAUGGCGAAGGCAGCCAUCUGGCCUAAUACUGACGCUGAGGUACGAAAGCAUGGGGAGCAAACAGGAUUAGAUACCCCUGUAGUCCCUGUCUCUUAUAU
rnacentral:rRNA from 1 species